UACGUAGGGGGCGAGCGUUGUCCGGAUUCAUUGGGCGUAAAGGGUGCGUAGGUGGCGCGCUAAGUCAGGUGUGAAAUUUCGGAGCUUAACUCCGAAACUGCAUUUGAUACUGGCGUGCUUGAGGACUGGAGAGGAGACUGGAAUUCAUGGUGUAGCAGUGAAAUGCGUAGAGAUCAUGAGGAAGACCAGUGGCGAAGGCGGGUCUCUGGACAGUUCCUGACACUGAGGCACGAAGGCCAGGGGAGCAAACGGG
rnacentral:rRNA from 1 species